rnacentral:lncRNA from 1 species
UGAUUGCUGUUAAUGGUUUAAGCUUAAUUUGGUCUCUUGCUUUGAUAUCAAUACUGCAGAUAGGUAUGAGAAAAACAUUGCAGGAUGUGAACAUGUAUAGGGUGCAAACAGACAUGAAAAUUAUGUUUUAUCUCCUUUUAAUAUGAAUACUGCAGCCAGGUAUGAGUGAAACAUUGAAGAAUUUAAAUGAAAAACACGAAAGAUCACAACUUUAUUUUGAAGAAAUGAAAAAAAAUUAUUUAUAACAAUAUACUUUAUACCAAAACUCAAUUACCAAAUUAUUAAUCACAAAACUAAUAAAAAGGGUACAAAAGGACUUUGGGUGCAAACAUGUAGGGUGCGAAAGUGAAUGGGGCAAACAUGAAUGCACGCAAACUUGUUUUUGGGCAAACAGACCUGGAUUCGAUGUACAUGUAUCAUGUGUAUAGGACACUGAAAUAAAAUCAUAGAUUCUGGGUCGGGAAUUGAGUAUGCAGGACUAACGACUUGCAUAAAUUUGAACUCCUCCCUAACAGAUACCUUUUAUUAAAGAUCUAGCUAAUCCAAGCCCCCUUUUACUAUACAUGCUGUAAAAAAUAAUGUUG